UCGGGAAUAUUGCGCAAUGGAGGAAACUCUGACGCAGUGACGCCGCGUAUAGGAAGAAGGUUUUCGGAUUGUAAACUAUUGUCGUUAGGGAAGAGAAAGGACAGUACCUAAGGAGGAAGCUCCGGCUAACUACGUGCCAGCAGCCGCGGUAAUACGUAGGGAGCGAGCGUUAUCCGGAUUUAUUGGGUGUAAAGGGUGCGUAGACGGGUAAUCAAGUUAGUUGUGAAAUCCCUCGGCUCAACUGAGGAACUGCAACUAAAACUGGUUGUCUUGAGUGCAGGAGAGGUAAGUGGAAUUCCUAGUGUAGCGGUGAAAUGCGUAGAUAUUAGGAGGAACACCAGUGGCGAAGGCGACUUACUGGACUGUAACUGACGUUGAGGCACGAAAGUGUGGGGAGCAAACA
rnacentral:rRNA from 1 species